rnacentral:rRNA from 1 species
UACGUAGGGUGCAAGCGUUAAUCGGAUUUACUGGGCGUAAAGCGUGCGCAGGCGGUCAUGUAAGACAGUUGUGAAAUCCCUGGGCUCAACCUAGGAACUGCAUUUGUGACUGGCGUGCUGGAGUACGGCAGAGGGGGGUGGAAUUCCUCGUGUAGCAGUGAAAUGCGUAGAGAUCAGGAGGAACACCGAUGGCGAAGGCAGCCCCCUGGGCCUGUACUGACGCUCAUGCACGAAAGCGUGGGGAGCAAACAGG